ACGGGAGGCAGCAGUGGGGAAUAUUGCACAAUGGGGGGAACCCUGAUGCAGCGACGCCGCGUGAGUGAAGAAGUAUUUCGGUAUGUAAAGCUCUAUCAGCAGGGAAGAUAAUGACGGUACCUGACUAAGAAGCACCGGCUAAAUACGUGCCAGCAGCCGCGGUAAUACGUAUGGUGCAAGCGUUAUCCGGAUUUACUGGGUGUAAAGGGUGCGUAGGUGGCAUGGCAAGUCAGAAGUGAAAGGCUGGGGCUCAACCCCGGGACUGCUUUUGAAACUGUCAAGCUAGAGUCCAGGAGAGGCAAGCGGAAUUCCUAGUGUAGCGGUGAAAUGCGUAGAUAUUAGGAGGAACACCAGUGGCGAAGGCGGCUUGCUGGACUGGUACUGACACUGAGGCACGAAAGCGUGGGGAGCAAACAGGAUUAGAUACCCUGGUA
rnacentral:rRNA from 1 species